CCUACGGGUGGCAGCAGUGAGGAAUAUUGGUCAAUGGGCGAGAGCCUGAACCAGCCAAGUCGCGUGAAGGAUGACGGCCCUACGGGUUGUAAACUUCUUUUGUCAGGGAGCAAUUGAGUCCACGUGUGUGCUUAGCGAGAGUACCUGACGAAAAAGCAUCGGCUAACUCCGUGCCAGCAGCCGCGGUAAUACGGAGGAUGCGAGCGUUAUCCGGAUUUAUUGGGUUUAAAGGGUGCGUAGGCGGAAUAUCAAGUCAGCGGUAAAAAGUCGGGGCUCAACCCCGUCGUGCCGUUGACACUGAGGUUCUUGAGUGGGCGAGAAUUAGGCGGAAUGCGGGGUGUAGCGGUGAAAGGCAUAGAUAUAACGAAGAACACCGAUUGCGAAGGCAGCAUACCGGCGCCCAACUGACGCUGAAGCACGAAAGCGUGGGGAUCGAACAGGAUUAGAUACCCGAGUAGUC
rnacentral:rRNA from 1 species